GAUGAACGCUGGCGGCAUGCUUAACACAUGCGAGUCGGACGGGAAGUGGUGUUUCCAGUGGCGGACGGGGGAGUAACGCGUGAGAACCUGCCCUAGGGAGGGGAACAACAGCUGGAAACGGCUGCUAAUACCCCGUAGGCUGAGGAGCAAAAGGAGGAAUACGCCCGAGGAGGGGCUUGCGACUGAUUAGCUAGUUGGUGAGGCAAUAGCUUACCAAGGCGAUGAUCAGUAGCUGGUCCGAGAGGAUGAUCAGCCACACUGGGACGGAGACACGGCCCAGGCUCCUUCGGGCGGCAGCAGUGGGGCAUUUUCCGCAAUGCGCGAAAGCCUGACGGAGCAUUGCCGCGUGGAGGUAGAAGGCCCCGGGGUCGUGAACUGCUUUUCCCGGAGAAGAAGCAAUGACGGUAUCUUAGGAAUAAGCACCGGCUAACUCUGUG
rnacentral:rRNA from 1 species